GGUGGUGUCGCUUGUUCAGCGCUUCUGGCGUGCAUUCUGGCGAUACCUUGUCGUUGUGGCUGGUUGGUACGUGAUUUUGACGUACCGGCUGGUGAGGGCUCCCUUUUCGGUGAGGACAACGACAAAAUGACGCAAUACGACCCGUCUUGAAACACGGACCAAGGAGUCUAGCACGGCUGCGAGUCGAAGGGUGUAAAACCCAAGGGCGCAGUGAAAGCGAAUUUAUAAGCAAAUUGGGGAGGCGUGGAGUUUUUAACAAAAUGUCCUACCUUGAGCAUUUGUGCUGGGACCCGAAAGAUGGUGAACUAUGCCGGAGUAGGGCAAAGCCAGAGGAAACUCUGGUGGAGGCUCGUAGCGAUGCUGACGUGCAAAUCGCUCGUCGAACUUGGGUAUAGGGGCGAAAGACUAAUCGAACCAUCUAGUAGCUGGUUCCCUCCGAAGUUUCUCUCAGGAUAGCGGGCCGACAUAUGUUGUUUUGUGCGGUAAAGCGAAUGAUUAGUGCAUUUGGGGUCUGAUAGACUUCGGGCGAUUCUCAAACUUUAAAUGCGCAAGGGGGUGGCUGCUUAAUUGAGCCUACUCUUUGAAAAACGUCGGCCCUGUGGGCCACUUUUGGUAAGCAGAACUGGCGAUAAGGGAUGAACCUUAAGCGCGGUUAAGGCGCCGCAUUGCCCGCUUAUAGACCCCACAAAAGGUGUUGAUUCAUUUAGACAGCAGGACGGUGGCCAUGGAAGUCGGAAUCCGCUAAGGAGUGUGUAACAACUCACCUGCCGAAUGAAUUAGCCCUGAAAAUGGAUGGCGCUUAAGCGGGCAGCCGACACCGCGCCGUUCCGGCGAG
rnacentral:rRNA from 1 species